AGGAAAGAGGCUGAGACCAUUCUGCAGUUCAUCAUUGCCAAAAUUAGUCAGCUGAAGACCCUGAAUGGACGUGAGCUACGUCUCCCCAUAAAAGUGGGAGGCCAGGCCUGCCCACACUCUUCUGCUCAGUGGAGUAAGGCAGCUCCUCUCGGGUGAGCACCUUCCCGGCACACAGGAGAGGCGAUACUUGGCACCCAGCAUCAUCCGGAAACUGGCUUGUGGAUUCUUCCAGAGGAAAGGCGUGGAGCUGAGCUUGAUUACCAGAAAGCUUUUGGGAAUGAGUGGAAGAAGGCUGGUGGACAUCAG